CCCAUCUAUUAUGCCAAAAUUAAACUAAAAGCAUUUCCAUACCGGAAUCAAAGUGAUUUCAAAGGUCUGGAGAAAAAGUAGGCUGAGACAAGUAAUUUGUUUUGUUUAUUAUGGAAUGAUCAGUUCCACUUAAUGCAUGACUAAGACAUCGCUAAACUAAUUGGAAAUUUAUAGUAUGCACUUUCUACCGGGGAUUGAGAUGCCAUAGAUAACAUCAAUUUUCUGGAUCGAAAUCAUGACCUCUUUAUAUGAAUCUACACUGUCACAAGCAUAUAGCCCUACAACUAUUCGAACAUUAAUAUUCGUAAAUAAUCAAAAUUUCAUACUUUCAUCAACAGUUGUUUGGUUCUAUGCCACAAAACCAUCUUCUCACAUAAAAAAUGGUGAUUAAGCAACUCAUGCACUUUACAAAGAGUAUCAUCUGAAUAUAACACAACAAGAACUGAGAAAGAAUUAAAAAACGCGUGACCGGUAAUAAGAAUACAUAUUUUAAGCGGCAGCUUGCUUCUAACAAACUGAUGGAGUGUUUAUUCUUGGCGGUCUUAUUUAGUAAAAUCCAAGAGCAAAAUUUCAGAGAAUCUUAAUCUGUCUCUAAUGCCAUGACACGAAAAAGGCAGCAAAAGGGCUGCAUCAAUGGGUUGAUAUACUCAAAUGAAGAAUUAUCGACAUGUUGAGAAAGAAUGCAGCAGUCUUUGAUAGGAUUAAAACACCAAAGCAAUUUAAAGAAAAUUAAAGAGAGGAGAAAACUCUCCAAGAAUGAUGGCCUAGUAAUGAAAACACCAAAGCAAUUUAAAGAAAAUUAAAGAGAGGAGAAAACUCUCCAAGAAUGAUGGCCUAGUAAUGAAGUAGUCAUCCGCCACAUGAAGAACAGAUUAGCAGAGAAAAUGUUAUGACUGAAUCAGAUGUGAGGACUGAGAUUUUUGCGGCGCAGAUAAAUCCUUUGUUGAUGAUGUUUUUGUGUGUAAUUUAAUUACAUAAAUAUUCGUCAAGUUUCGGAAGAAAACGAGUUAGAAUAGAGAUUUUACGCAAUCUUUACUCUUCACUUAAAGUGAAUAGUAACCCGAAUUUCCGGAGAGGCCAAUGAGUAGAGAUGGCUUCUGGCGCGUAUUAGACUCCGUUCAUAGCGAUCCAAUAGCUCGUUUUUGACGAUUCGACUAUCCUGGACCCAAUGGCACUAACGGAUUUGGGUUUUGAUACACGGUUUUCAAGAAAAAGGGAGUUUAUUGGAUUUGCAUAUAUAUAUGUAUACGUGGUUUUUAAAAAGUUAGAGAAGGGAUGGCUUUCAUCACAAUUCGGCGACCAAUUCAAAUGAAACAAAAUUGUGAGUUCGAUGUCUCGGUAGUGCUGAACGUGCUGGAAUGAUCUGUUCGAAAAUCCGAUGGAUGGAUCGCCGGAUAUCACGUGAUUAUCGAGGUGAGGUCAAAAUGGAAUUUUUGUAUCUCGCGCGAAACCCCAUAUAUUUUAUGUACCGAAUCGCAUGAGAUCGGAUGUAGAGAUGCAUAUGCGCAUUUUACACGCGCUGUGAGGGACUCAAAUAAAAAUAAUGAGUGUUGGAGGACUAUUUUGCAAAAUGGCCAUAUUGUAUAUAUGGCAUCUAGGGUUUUCAAUUGGAAACCCUAACCCUAGAUGCCCUCCUCCCUCAGCCGAGCUCCCUGCCACCUUCAGCACCUCCCUCUACCCUAGCCGCGCAUGCCCCGGCCACCUGCGCAUGCCGCCAGCCGCCGGAGAGGCUGCUCCUCCCUCUCCUUCAUCAUCUCUACCACCUAGCCGCCACCACCUCUAUUCGAGAGCAACCCAGAGUGAUCACACUCUCGAGUUCCCUCCCCUGGCCGGCUGCCGCCGUCCCCGCGUGCCGCCAUUACCGCCUGAGCUCCCUGCGGCCGAGUUGGGUCAACCCGGGCCUGAGUUAGCUCUUGGCCCGUGCGCUGCCGCCACCUUGUGCCAUCUGUGCCACCCUUCCCCAACCCUUGGCGACAUCCCCGGUCGGUUGCCGCCGGCCCUGCCGGCCGCCGCAGCCACUCUUGGCAGCCUGGGGCCGCCCCAGGCUAAUGAGGGCCGAGGCUGGGACCUUCUUUUCUCUUCGCGCCGCCGCUGCCUAGUGUCGGCCCCCCCGCCUCCCUCUGACCUCCAACGACCCGUCGUCGUCGCCCGGAGCUUCCCCGGUCGUCGCCGUGUCUGUCGGGCUCGGGAUGCUCCGGCACCGCGAUCGCCGCCUCCCGCCGUCGGCUGGCGUGAACGCCGGCCUGCCAUGGUCGACCGCACUCGGUUGCCGCCGAUGCCCCCAUCGCCGAAGCCCCUGCCAGUCGGACUGGAGCCGAGCUCCCCACCACUUCGUGCGGCUAGGGCAUCAAUGCCCAUCGCCGUCGCCACCGCCACCUUCCGUCGCCGCCGCCGCCUUCCGUCGCCAGCCGACGUGCGCCUCGGCAUCCCUCCGUCGCCCGCACCCUCCUGUCGCUGGUGUGCCCAUCGCUCGGCCGCCGCUGGCCAUGCCCUAGCUCUCCCCUGGCCGGUAAGCUAAGUUAUGGCUAUUUCAUGCAUUGUUUAUGGUUCGGACCUCUAUUCCGGCGACCCGAGGCUAUUCCGAUGCCUCCGGAGGUGAGCACAGUGAUCUUUGUCCAGUGCUGAUCACAGUGCUUACCUCAUUUAGGGGAAACAAGUGCCAAACGAGCGAAUUAGAAGCGUUUUAGUUUCAGCGCGCAGGGUUCACUGAACUUCGAGUCGCUCCCGCGCCUCCCAUAGUGGGCGUUUGUGCUCCGGAUCGUGAGCAUGGCCUUCCGCACACCGAGAACUAUCAGCAGGUGUCUCGGCCGGGCAUGAAUGUCCUUGUUCUGCGCUGCCGGGUCGUAAAACCACAAAAAUUACAUAAAAUGAUGUGAUUUCAUGUUGUCGCAGGGGUUUUUAUGCAAUUGUAUGUUGCGUGGUUACUGUUGACAGCAUGUGCGGGCAGUGGGUGACCUCUGGACUGGUUGUCCCAGGCCCCAGGCCUUCUCAAAAAUCAGAUGUUAAUUUUCGGUGCGUUUUUCGGCGAAAUUCGCCGACGGAACGCGAUAUCGGUUCGGAAUUCUUCCAAUGGGGCCUCACGGUAUAUUGUGUAAUCACUGAGCCUUGUUGGCUAGUCACUCGCAUCGUUUCGAGGGUUCAAAAACAAUGGGUGAGUGAUGGUGGCUUCGAGUGUCUUAUUUGACAUUUUCAGGAACUCGGACCGGAACGAUUAUCCGACGAUAAUCGUUUCGAUGUGAGGAUGUGUGUUUACUGUCAUGUCACAUGAAUAGUUGAGUGUAGUGGCAGCGGAUGACUCGUAGAGCGAGUCGGUGAGCCUCGGGACAGUUCGUGGGUCCCGGCGGAGUCCCGGUGUGAUUUUUGGGACUUUCGGUGUGAUUACGGCAAUCGGUUUUGGAAAACCAAUUCCUAUAGGUUUAUUGGUGGGGAUUGUGAGUUAGUAGUUCAUGUUUGUGGGUUGGAUACUAACCCGAUGGACCCUUCUUAGGUCCGGUUGACUUUUUUCCGCAGUCGGGAGAUAAGUGCUACGUACGGACAUGUAGGUACUUCGACCCAAAGUCGGUACAGUGGUGCGCGCUCGGUGACAUUCCCUUUACUCUUUCCUUGUUGUCUAUCUUGCAUGUUCUAUGUUGAGCCUAGCACCUAUACCAUAUCUUCUUAUUGCACUACUUAGUUGGUUGCAUACCCAGUAUUAUGUUUUAGAAGUAGAGCUGUUUUGUGAUUAUUUGUGAGAUUUGUGACCUAGUCGGUCAGUGCGUUGCAUCUGGUAUUGUGACCUAGUCAGUCAGUGCGUUGUAUCUGGUAUUGUGACCUUGUUGGUCGGUUCUUUUAUCUCGUAUCUGUGACAUAUUCGGUCGGCUUACUACAUUGUUAUCGUGACCUAUUUGUCGGUUGGAUUAUUUGAUGACCUAUACGGUCGGUAUACCCUGAGGGGUCGAAUUGUCGGCUAAUGGCUGACGGUUAGUUCUGGAUUAUACCGAUGUAUGAUGUGACAUCUUUGUGACCUAUUGGUCGGUUCUGGUGUAUAUAGAUGUUAGUUGACAUUGAGUGGUCGAUACUUGCAUAUCUUCGAAAGGAUGUUGAGUUGUUUCAUCCUAGUUGACCUGAGUGGUCGGUACUUGUGUUCCUUACAGUUCGAUAACCUAUUAGUCAGUGUACCCAGAGGGGCGGUGAUUGUCGGCUAGCUGCCGACGGUUGGCUAUUGAGCAUAUCAGCAUCGAUCGCCACUGCUCGUGCACAUUUCACGAACGCCAGCGGUUUGGCCACCACAAGAGGGUGUUCUUUUCCGAAAAAGUGGUUGGGAGUGCCAGCCCGUGAGACCCGAGUGCUUUAUGCGAGGGUUAUAUACUUUCAGACCCGAGUGCUUUAUGCGAGGGUAAUAUACUUUCAGACCCGGGUGCUUUAUGCAAGGGUCAUAUGCUUUCAGACCCGGGUGCUUUAUGUGAGGGUCACAUACCUUUUAGACCCGGGUGCUUAUGCGAGGGUCAUUUACAGGUUAAAGCAGUUGUGGCACAAGCCUGAGGUCUACAGACCGAUAGGGCAAUUUCAGAUUGGGUAUUUUGGACUUGUCGUCCGGUUGAUGCAUAAAUACAGUAGCGGUAGUCGUUCAUUUAUACAUAUCUCAUUCAUUUAUUAUCGUUGCUACUGUAUUAUCCUUACCCAUGCCUUUGUUUAUUCUCCGUGACUGGUGAGUACCCCUCACCCUCGUCGGCUUGCAGUACCCACUGACAGAGGAGACAUGUGUACAUGUUCUCAUCCCCAAUCCCCAUUACAGGUGACGUCACGGGUCCUAGUAAGACGGUUCAUGAGGAGCGCACUUAGCGGUUUUGUAGAGCUUUCGGACCCGUCCAUUCGGUUUAAACUCUUGACCUGCUUUCCUUAAAUAAUGACUUAGGUUCAGUAUUUAAUGAUAAUUAAAUAAUUGGGAUUUCAUGAAUGUAAUAAAGGAUUUGUGAUUCUUGCAAACUGAAAUGGCUUUUCUACCCCUUGUAGUAGCGAGUUUUAAAAGGAAAGGUUUCCGUGUGGAAAACAAUUUUUAAAAGAAUUUUCUGGUUUUCCUGAUUAUUAGUAUUUCAAAACGAGUUUCCGGAUAGGAAACUUUUUAAACUGGUAGAUAUGGAUCUAUGAAUAAUUGUGAUGCAUUAUAAAUGUAAAUGUGAAUGGUGUAUGAAUAUGUGUAUAUUCAUAUGUGGUGGUUGUAUCCUAUAUUAUGUAUAUUGUACUUGUGCGACGCCGUGCAAAUAUAGGGGAGAUUCUGUCCGUAUGAACAGUGGACUCCCUAUAUUUGUGGUGGAUCUGGCAUACCCUAGGGGUCAGGUUUUCAAAAAAAAAAAAUUUGGGCACUUCCGCUUUGAAUUUAUAACAAAAAGGGACCCCGGGGCGUGACAUCAGAUAUCGAAGUACUCAUAUAAAGUCUUCUGCAAUAGGAAAGUAGCUACUAGUUAACUAUUUAUUUUGCAAAUGAUGGUGAAAACAAACAUAGUUGUCAAUCUAAAUAUCUAAUACACAUCCUAUCUAAUGCAAGCCGAUUGGAUUUCAUAGCUAUAUUGAACUACCCUAACGAUCUUCCACUUAGGUUGUGGCCGAAAACAAAUGAAAACAAAUGAAAAUUUAUCUUUUAUAUAUUUUUUUAUGAUCGGUCUACGGUGCACUGAGCGCAUCCAAAGUUUUUAUUGGACAUGUAGCAUCAUCUGAUUUGCUCACAUCGUAAUGACUAUCAUGGCAUCCUUAGCAGCUCGGAAGGACUUCUGUGUAUAGUUAUAGAUUGUCCCCAACAUGUUUUCAUAUUUUAGAAACGAUACAUGAUGGCAUUAAUAGUAAUAGUGUUAAAUGCAUUUUUUUUCCUCUAUAGACUGUGGCAACUAAUUGAAUCAAUGGUAACUUCAUAAGCAAAUAAAUUCAUAGAUAUACAAUAUACUUCUUUGUCUCAACUAAUGUUUUGAAAGAUUAGGGUUUUUUUUCCCAAUCAACCGACUAUUAUUUUAAAAGAACUGUAAAAUAUUUUCUUUAUAAUUUAAUAGUGCAUUUUUCAUUUUUAUUUGGAUCUAAGUUUAUGACAUUGGAAACUAUAUAGUUGGUGCCACAUGGGAGCAAAGAAUUAGACUUUACUCAUUUGUUAAAACAAAGUGACGUCAAUUAGUCAAAUAAAGUAGGAUAAAUUAUAAGAUGGGCCCUACUUUUGAAGAUGUGUUAUUUUUUUUUAGUCAGUUGAUCCCACUGAAUAUGUAGGUUUACCACUAGGAACGGUGCAUGCCAUGCCGUCCCGGUGCAAGCCGGUCAGAAAAAAAUAUCUGUGUGCCAAAACAUGAUGGCAUAAAUUAUUUGUUAGAAGGAAAAAAAAUGGAGAGAAAUGAAAUGGAGUGUGUUAGGCUUUGAAACUUUGAUGGUAAAGCCUCGUACUCAAAUCAAAUCAAACUUUAAUGUUGUGUUAAGGAAAACACGUUAAAUGCCAAUUAGAUAUUUUACACGAAAGGAAAAAAAAAAUUUGGCAAACAAUCAUUUGGAAAUAAUUACUACUAUUGAAUUUUUUUUUUUUUUUAAGAGAGAGAGAGAUAGGUAGCACGCUAUCCGCUUCGUUUAUUUUAUUUAAAAAUAAACUUAGCUAGAAAUGUGAAUCAACUAGGAUUCAAACUUGAGUUUCGGGUACCAACCAACAAGUCCUUUGCCACUUGCUCUAGGGACGGUCGGUAUUGAAUAAGUUUAGUUGAUUGGUAUUUUAUAAUCGAAACAUAUAUUUUCGGUUCAAGUUUUAUUUUAGAGCAAAAAAUUUGAGUCGUUCUUUAGUCUGUUGAUACCUCACGAACCCAGACAUAAAUUACUAGUUCAAAUUCUAUUUAGAGCGGGAAAAUAAGCGAAUACCGACGAAUAUCUUUUGAAACGCAAAAUAUAAAAUAUUAAAGAUUACUAAACAAGCUCUUACCAAAUGCGAUUAUUGUAUCCAAAAAGCUGAUACAUGUUCUUUAUUAUGCUUCAAAUAAAUCUAUUAUUAUAGAUUUGUCACUCGUCAGUUUCCUUCACAAAAAUCGUUUGAAAAAUAAAUAGGCACUAAAACGAAAAGGAUUAAAAUAAAAGCACGCAUUUUUCUCUCUUCCUUUCUAUGGUAUUAAUGUAAGGGCAUGUUUAGUUGGAGAAAUUUGAGAUUUGGAAUAGAAAUGAGAAUAAUUUAUUUUUAUUAUUGGUGUUUGGUUUAAAGUAUUAAUAUUUCGAUUUUCAUUUUGAAGGAAAUUGAAUCCCCAAAAUGGAUUUUCUUAUGAAGGUGGGAAUUUACUUUAAUUUUGGAAGCGACGGGGGCAACAGACCUUUUUUUUUCGCUAACAAUUAUUUAAAUUCAAAUAUAUCAUAUUUAAAUUGAGAUUAUAUUUUUUUUAUUUGAAUUUGAAUUAUGGAUUCAAAUUAUAAUUUUUAAUUUCUUAAGUUCAAGUCUAAAUUCUUGAGUUCGGUUUUAAAUUUAAAUUUUGAUUAUGAACUUGAAUUUGAAUUUAGAAUUAAAUUUCAAUUCAAAUUUUGAUUACAAAUUUAAAGAGUAAAUAAAUGUAAAUUCGAACCAAAAUUUCUCUUACGAGCCAAAGAAUUGAAAGUUGUUAUCAUUCCGUUUUCGAUUCUGAUAUAUUUUUCCAUUCCUAGUCUGAUUUCAAUAACUAUUUUGAACAAAAUGUACUCUAAUUUCUUACGAAAAUGGAGAGGAGCAACCAAAAGGAAAAAACAAAAGACAAAAAACAAUUACAGAACUCAUGAUUUUGAACAUUAAAGAGCAGCUCACAGUUGAUAAUGAUAAAAGGAAAUAAUGGAAUGAAACAGACACUACCCCCAACAAGAUAUAGAAUCACACAGAGAUGCUAAGAGUUAAGACAUGCCUGUUUCGUAAAAUAGGAUCCAGUAUUGCCAAAGCUAAAAUACACAGCAAAAUACUAGUUAGCCUCCAAUGGCAACAGAUUCAUAUCCAAUCAUACAGUUAUUACAAACAAAAGCCAUGGAGGAAUCUAUGAUAGAACAGGAGAAAAGAAAAGGAAAAAAAAGUACAUUUAGAAGGAUUUUAGUUCUGGGAUGGCAACCCGGCUGCUCCCGGAUUGUGCUGUUGUGCUGCAGGCUGCUGCUGGGAAGGUUGCGGCGGUGGCGGCGGAGCCAUCAUCGGCAUCGGCUGAUACGGAGGUCGAUAAUGUUGCGGGUACGGCAUGUACCCAUAAGGGUUGGUAUGGAACGGAGGAUACUGGCCUUGGAAAUGUGGAGCCUGCGGUGGUGGCAGUGGCGGGUAAGCAUGCCCAGAACUGCCUGGGGACCCUCUCACCGGCCCUGCUUUGUUACUGUCACCCUCAUGGGAGGGCACCAGCGCGCCCAUCCUCUGCGGGUCCAUCGAUGGGUACAAGGCCCGCUCCAUGGGGGGUGGGGCCGGAAUGUUAAAGUAAUGCCCAGGAGGAAGCUGCUGCUCUGUGCCGGGCGGGCGGAGCUGCUCGCCGCUCUGCUGCUGGGAGAUAACAGCCCUAGGAAGCAUCCCGCUGUGGGCAAUGAGCCCGCCUUGCUGUUGCCUUGCGGCCCCGUCUUCGCUCCCCUCCUCGGGCUUUGAAGGGGCCUGCACCUGCGGCCGCCCCCACAUGAGCUUGAGGCGGACACCCUUGAUGACCAGCUUGUUGGCCAGCUCUUCGGCGGCCCUUUCAGCGCCUUCUCGGGUGGUGUAGGUGACAAAGGCGCAGGCGCGCUGGAGGACCAUGCGGAUGGACUCGAUCUCGCCGUGGGCGUAGAACUGGUCCCUGAGGUCUUGCUCUGUGAUCCGUGCAUCAAGGCCACCGACGUACAGUGUGCGGAUGCUCUCAUCGUCUGGCGGGGUCAAAGACGGCAUCUCCCCAGCCUUGCUCAGCAGCUUCAGGGCAACAGGAUCGUUCACUCUGCACAAAAAUAGAAAGAAAGGGAAGAAGAUAAGUUUUUGAUACUUGAAGAAGACAAAUAUUUUCAAUCCUUAAAAACAAAGAAAAUGGAAGUGCUGGAGAAAAUAGAAAGUAUAAACCUUACUUUGCCUCACCGCAUGAUAGUUUAAAAAUUGACUACAAUUGAAUACAAGUUCUCCCAAGGGGAUAAUGUUACUUCCUUAGACUCAAGUUCUCUCACAAAGAUAAUAUUACUUACCGAGAUCUGGUCUAAUAGAUCUUGCAAAUCAAAAAUCCAACAAGACCCUCUUGGUUACAAAUGAAAUUUCAACUGCUAAGGAAAAGCAUUGUAGUGAUAUAAUUCCUAAACCACUAAAAAGUCCAACCCUUUAAAGGGGUGUUUGGCUCCUCGAAAAAAUGUGGAAAAGAAUUUUCCAAGAAAAAUGUUUUCUAUGGAAAAGCUAUUUUUCAGUUUUCAGUCUGUUUGCUUCCAAGGAAAAAUUAUUUGUGGAAAGCUUUUUGCCAAAUUUCAUAAAAAAUUACUCUUUUUGUUUUCUACAUUUUCUUGUAGUACAACGAAAAAGGCUAGUUUUCCAUGAAAUUUAGAAAGAAGCUUUUCAAGAAAGCAAGUUUUCCUUGAAACCAAACAGUCGGAAAACUGGAAAAUGGGUUUUCCAUGGAAUACUCUUUUCUCGAAAAUAGGUUUUCCAUACUUUUCUGAGCAACCAAAUAAACCCUAACCCAACAUUCAAAAUGUACUAUUCACUGGCAAGAUCCUUUUAUUACCCAGUUGAUCUCUUUAUGUAACCAAGCUCUUUCUCAACAUGUUGGUACUGCCUUACCAACAGGACCAACACUUACUAACCAACCUAAUCAACCUAAAGGGGUUACGCAUAUUUAUCAGAAUACAAAAUAUAUGAAUUAGAUCAAAUGAAACCUCAAAGCAAUACGCAAACUAUUCUUAAUAGAUUGGUGUUGUUUCUAACAGGUCCGAUUAAUUGGCAAAUUAAAAAUAAAGCAACACACAUAUAACAAACAAGACACAAUUCUCCAAUAAUUUCUAGCUGAUCAAAAAACACAACAUAUGUUGGAAAUAGAAGGGAACUUCAUAAUAAGCAUCACUCCACCAAGUCGAAAUGGAUAUUCAGUCGAUAAUGAUUCUAAUAACAAGUAGCAACACAAUAAGCAAACAAACAAUCCUCUUUGUAGAUAAAGGAAAAAAUAGGAACACAGGGAGAUACUGAUUUCUGAUACGUACCCACAGUAACGAUCUUUUAUGUUCUGCUGAGAUAAUUCCCCAGUUUCAGGCAUCUCAUGCCGAUAUGGACAUUCAGCACCACGCGUACACUCUCCGCGGACAUAGAAACUACAAACAUGUGCUCUAUUCCUCUUAUAAUAUGGUGUUGUCCUCUGAAGUUUUAAGAUAGUAUCAUUUGCCCGUACCUUACCAUAUGAAGACUCAUAAUCUAUGCCUGCUCUCGCCUGCGCAAAGAUAAUUGGCAACAAAAGAUUUGUCAACAAUAACUACUCCACAACUUCUUAAAGACUGCACUCUAAUAAAUUGAUGCUUAAAACAUUAUAUAUUUACAUGCCUGCCUUCAGAUACAGGUAAAUAACAUACAAAAUUCCAUGUCUAUAGAACAAAGCCUCUUUCGAAACUAUCAAGUACAUCUAACAAAAUUCCAUGUCUAUAGAACAAAGCCUCUUUCGAAACUAUCAAGUACAUCUAACCUUGAUGAAAACAUUAAUCUAGCAAUUAAGAAAACUCAAUGAACUCAAACUUCUUUGCCAUAAUAGAAAUCUCGAAGAACACUCCCGAUUUUCAGAAGAGGCUGAAGAAAUAGAAAGGUACCAUUAGAAAGGCAACAUAUUAAUAAAAUGUUUAUGAAAUCUUGACUAAACUCCUGUAAAAUAAAUCAAUCUAAACUAAAUUGAAAAGAAAAAAGAUCUGAAAUAAAUAAAUAUGUACUUGAGCUCCAAAAAAAAAAGGAUAAGAUAUGCCAUCAUAACAGAAACAUACCUAAUCAAUUAGAUAAUAUGCAAACAUUAGGCAUUAUACUAAAAGAAAGAUUCUAGUUAUACAUGCAAAAACAGGAAAAAAAAAAAAUUUAUUUUACCUCUUUGCAAGUAAAAUAAAAUUCAUAUGAUAUCAUAAAUCAACUACUUAAAACAAAUUAGUUAUAUCCUUUUUGCUAAAGAUAAAACUGAGAUCCAGCAAAGCACAUUCCAUAUAAAGGUGAUACAAGAUAAGAGAAUAAAACUAGAGCAGAUCUCGUACCUUGCGAUCAUGUUCUUCUGCAAAGUAUUCACGAUUCACAUCACUCCUCGGGAUAGCAUCAUUGGAAUUGAUAGCUAGAGCAGUAUCACGGACCUGAACCGGUAACCCGUAUUCUAGAUCCAAGAGGCAGACCUGGCACACAUUCUUCAGCUUACAGCAUGUCUGGCAGAUCUCCGUCUUUUUGUACCUUGCAUCACGCCCAGGUCUCCAGCGAAAGACUGUAAAUGGUCGGGAGCAGAUUUUGCAUUCCUUGUCAUAAUCUGCUCUUAGCUGAGUGAUCAAGGCACAGAAAAUAUGAAGAGGUCAUUAAUCCUUGACUGACAAGAAAACAACCUAUAACAACCUAUGAACUACAAAAUAGAAAAGUUAUGACCUAAAUAGUACCCAUGGAAGAGACAAAAAAAAUCCACAAGUUGAAUGGCAUUGAGAUAUGCCAGACGUGGCAUGUCCGAACAUUCUUAAAGAGAGCUUUAUUACUAAAGAACUUUAUGUUGACCCUCCUUUGAAUCCUAUGGGAUGACAUUAUUUUGACUAUUGAAUUGAACACCAAAAGAACUCCUAAGACAUUACAAGUACAGUUUCUGUGAUAUACACUAUGUAAAUAAGUUUGAUCUUGAAUAAUAUAACAGGGUCUGCCGCUGAAGUUCAUUGGCUCCUUGCAGUCUAGUUCUUCAAAAAAUUGCAGUCUAGUUCUUCAAAAAACAUGCCCAAGUUGUUGUCGUAAAACAAAUAAUAGUGCCCUAAGAUAUAAUAUUUUAUGAGCAUCAAAAUAUCUGUUUGUUCUUGUCCAAAUAACUCUUUUCCCCCCAUAUUUGGUUUGCAAGCCACAGAUAAUUCGAUUAAAGGCUCCUAGAUCUAAAAAUUUGAAUGGGCUCUUAAGGGAUACCGUACAAUGCAUAAUUGGUCAAAAGUGUGGGAAGUGUUCUUCUACAUCCUAUGCAAAAGAAGAUCCACACCAUUACAUAGCCAACUUAAUCAGUGCACAGACUCGAGUCUCAAUUAAAUAUCUUGACUUUUUUCUUUUCUAACGGUGAGGCCAUCUUUUUGGGAACUUCAUGUUUGACGAUUGAUUCGACAUGAGUAAAAUUGCCUAGUAAUGUCACAGUAGCACAAAAUAGUGUUUUUGAUCAGAAUAAUCUUAGUCUUGUAAGAAAAAACUCUUAAGCUGAAAAAAAAAGAAAAAACAUAAACCUUCAAGGGCCGAAUAAAUUAAAAAAGAAAAACAUAGCUCUAUUUUCUGAUAACACAUUAACACUACACCGUGCAUUGCUCGCCUCAUCCACUAAUUAACUCACUAUUAUCGAUUUGGCUUUGCUAACACAAAGUAAGGAAAUUCUAAUUGGUUUUUAGUAUUAUCCGGUUUCCAAUCCAAAAUCUAAAAACCGGUAUGUAAUUACAAUAAUUGGCGAUGUAGUUAACACAAUACACAACAUUCAGAUCUACACACAGUAAACUACAUCAAGAUUAGGCUUCCCACAGCUAGUGUUCCUCCACUGCGUCCCCUAAUCACACAAUUAUACGUAAAACUAGCUAUUUCAAACCAAAUCUACAAAAUCGACAGUGCAAAACCAAAACCAAGAUUAGCGUUUUGGAAAUUCCUACACUUAAAAGGAAAAAGGAAUCAAAGAUGAAGAGCGGGGGAUCCCUCACCAUGCGAACGUAGGGGUUGUCGCCAAGGCAUGACUCGCAGAUGAUGGGGAAAUCAGAGCGCUCCCACCCAUCGGCUUGUGCGUCCCUGAGCAAGCGAUGCGCCAUUGAUGGAGGAGAGGAGAAGGGGAAGGGGAAGGAGCAAGGGAAAGGGAAAACCCUAGAAGGGAUGGAUAGAGGGUCAACCCCGUUCAACUCUUUCGCACCCAAAAAAUAAAUAUAUAUAAAUAUAAAAAUUAAAAUAAAAAUAAAAAUUAGGGCAGGGAAAUGAGUCGGUGCCUCCCGAAACACGACUCACGUAGCGUUGUCAACGAGCCAAACACGAGCGAGGUGGAGCCAGCUCGAGAUCGCGGCUCGUUAGUGUUCAAGGGAGGCUCGUUAGUGUUCAAGGGCGGCUCGAGCUCGAAAAGUCCGGCUCGUUUUCGGCUCGCAUGUUAUGGGUUUCGCACCGAUCCCACGCGAUAUACCUAAAUCUCUGUAUAAAAAAAUAAAAAAAAAAAAAAAUCACAUCAAACUCUAAUUAGAAGUUCAAGAAAGAAAAUCCAUGGGAUUCUGCUCAAAAAAUCAUAAGAAAAAUUUAAAAAAAAAAUGAAGAAGAUUAAUGAAAGACGAAGAACGAACCUGUUGAAAGCGCCGCUGCCGGAGUUAGAUGGGGAUAUGCUGCUGGCGAAGAGUGCGCUGCCGGCGAAGAGUGCGAACGGUGGAAGACUGGAGAGCGUUGCCGGCGGGGUGUCUUCGGGCACAGAGACACUACAAAAAAAAAGGUUUUAGAAGCGGUCGAAACCGCUGGGAAAAGUCUCUAGAACCGCUGGAAAAAAAAUUUCCGACAUUUGUAAAACCGUCGGGAAAAGUUUUAUAACCGCUGUUAGAUCUCUGUCACUAAAGAUCUUUGUUGAUAGUUUACACAACCGUUGGCGAAGAUAAUAAUUUUAAUAACGCUUCUCCGACCGCUACUAAAUAUAGUAAAAAGUGCUACUAAAUAGAAUUUUCUACAGAAUUUGUAGAUGAUUUUAUCAUUAUUUCUUUCGUACUAAUCGAUGGUAAUAUUCAUGAAUAUCAAUUAAGUUCCAUAAGUAAAUUGAUCACAAAAUAAAAGAGCCAUUUUCCUUAUCCUGUAAAGCCUGCUAAAAUUAGGUCUGUUUGCGUAGUAUUUGUGUUCAAGUACUAUUCACAUAAUAGCAAUUAACAUGGAUCAUAAGCCUCGUCAUUUUGAAAGAAAAGUCUAAGGAGAUGAUGCACGCACAGGUAUAUACAGAAAAGUUGAAAUCAAUCACAACAUUGCGAAGAUUUAACUACAAGAACUACAGGAUAGAUGGAUCAAGACCAAAUAGACUUGCCAAAAAGAAUUUAUAUACCAAAACAAAAUCAGAUUGAGUUAUUAAAUACACAAUGAAUUCACAUUUUCUCCAUAGGGAAGAAAGUUAAAAAAAAAAAAAAAAUCAAAUGUGAGCUCACUAUGAAACACAGAUCAAAUUCACAAAGAACUCAUAUAAAGCUUGCAACUAGAUUCUGAAAACUGUACAUGGAAGUGGAACAUUUCAUUUGGAAAAAACAGAAUAAAUUUCAAUAUCAAAGCAUAUAUUUGUGAAGACUCGUGAUAUUACAACCUACAAAACAUCAACCUACCAAUGUUCAUGGGUCAACCGAUAAUCACGACCCACAUAUUCAACAACUACAAAAAAUCUAAUAUUUAGGGGAAAAAAUCACAAUAUAUGGAUAUCACCAACUUGUUGAAUACCAUGUCCUACGUGAGAAUGGACCCCCUCCUGCAAUGCUUGGGUGUAACUUGCUUCAUAUUAUCCUCUACUUGUGUUGUACUUUUCAUUAUUUUGUACUCUUCAUCUUUCUUUUUCUUUUUCUGUUUUUUUAUUUUUCUUAUUUUCCCAACUUGCAACUUUGUUUUUGAUUAAGAUUUGCAGAGCUGUGCUUAACCCUCCCUCUCUGUCCUUUCAAGCACUUCAAGAAUAACGCAGGACAAAGCAUGGACAACCAAAGGAAGGCAAAAUGAUACCAUGCAAACCAUAUUGGAUUCUAAACAACCUCUAAGCAAUCCUAGAUGAUUAUGUCCACCAUCUAACAAAUCCAAUCACCCCCGAUCACAAGAAAAGAGCUCACCUCCACUAUUGCUAGUUUAGUUUGGUUUAUUCGAUUUGAAUAGACCUUUCUUUCUAUAGGCUUAACAUUAGGGUAUAGUAUUGUGCGGGAAAGUACUAUUUUAGUAGUUUGAGUAUCGGUCAGUUCAGUUCAAUUUUUAGGUUUUUCUUUUUACAAAACUAAACUGAGUCAAAUUAGAAACAAAAGCCAAGCGAAUUGAAUCGAAAUAGUUCCGUGAGUUUAGUUUGGUUAAUUUAUUUGUUUGAAUAGGACCUUAGUUUUUGGAUUAAAGCAUGUUAAACUACUUAAAAAGUAUAUAAAUAUGAUUAAUUAACAACCUAGAAGUCCAGCAUCCAAGGGCAUUUUCCAACAUUACAAACAACAACAAAUUCUAACAAAUGAAAAUUUACUACCUAGACCUUUGACUCUAUUGACUUCUACAAGCUACAUUAUCGUAAAAGUAAUAUUUUAGAGUCAACCGAAGGCCAAAACAAUCAGUAAUGCUUUAUAAACAAACUAAUAGUUUGCACAACAUUUCUAUUGCAAAUUUUCUCACAGCUAAAGAGCAACCUGUGAAACACGCAGUGUGGACAUGAAUCAACAAUGAAGAACAAACUAUGUAAGUAAACUAAAAACUAAAAGAUACGAAAAUAUAUCAAUAUGAACGAUCCUCAGAGCAAUAAAGUAACAUAAUCUCAACAAAGCAAUAUUUUCAUAUAAUUUUAAGAGACAAAUUGGAUUACUAGUAUCUUAAAAAAGUCCAUAUUCAAUAGAAAAGGCUAAGUAACUCUUGUGAAGCAUGAGGUCAAAGUAGAAGGUUUCAGGGUUUGGACUAAUUAUUAGUUAAGUAGAAUUAAAAAAAAAUGCAUGAAACUACACAGAAUUUGAGAAGAAAGUUUUAAAAUUAAGGUCGAAGUAGAGAAUCAGAUUAAAACAAUGCGUAGCAACCUACCAUACUGGAGUAAAUAAUAAUUUAUUCGGCCUAAACGAUCAGUCUUUAAAUAUUUAAGUUCAAUUAUUAAUAUUAAUACUAAUAUGUCAAUCUCAUAUAUAAGACUCUGCAUACUCUCCCUUAUUACAAAUAGCUUCACCGGUUGUAACUAUAGAUCACAUAAUAAACUUAUGGACAAACUAACUCUAUAAAUUGUGCAUGAUGAUGUGCAUUAGCGUCCAAAAAGAUGGGAAAAAAAAAGAUGCAUAUAUAAGUUUAGUUAGUAUCAUGUGAUUUUCUUAAAUAAUGUGAGGAUGUAAAUAUAGUACUAAAGUUUAAGAACGCAUAAACGAGAAUUAAUGCAGCACCUUAGAGAGAAGGCAAAGUAGUGACUCUGUUUGGUUCUCAAGAAACGAAUCGCCUACAAACGCCCAAGCUUUAUUUCGCAUUAAAUCCAAGAAUUUCCCUGCAUCAAAUUUGGGUAAUUCACAAUAAAAUAAAUUAGCUUGCAGAUUAGAAGUUCAUCAUAAGCAUAACUAUCUAUUAUUGACAAAGCAAAAUUUAGCCAAAAAAUUCAUUCAAAAAUAGAUAAAUUACAAAAAUAGUCCUUAAAAUAGUAUAGAAUUACACUUUAAUUCUCAAAUUUUAAAUUAAUCUAUCAGGAUCUAUCAGAUAUAAGCACAAAACAUCAAAUAACAUGGAAACUGAAGCCCUAAAUGGUGCAAAAGCAAAUCCGAUCGCCCCUGAUCACACAAAGAGAGCUCACCUACGCCACUGGGCAAUCGAAACCCCCAAUCCAAGCGAUCACUCUCUCUCUCUAUGUUGGGGUCAAGGCGAGUAGUACCAAAUCCGAACAACUAAUUCCAAAUCAGAGCAGAUAGGAGCCUAAUAAACAUAAAAAACAGAGAAAAUCAACCAAAAAUUGCAUCAAAAAUACUGAUAUAAAGCCAAAUAUCAAACUCUCUAAGCCAUUCCUAGUACCAAGCGAUUACUACUACCUCUCUUGUCCCGCAGGUUGGUGCGGUGUCGGAGAGGGAGAUCGGAGUCGGAGAGGGAGAGAGACUGUUGAAGCUGUAAUCAGAAAUUAGUUGUAAUUUUAUAAGUUCACUAUCAUUUUAUAACUUUUUUUUAUUCUAAUACUAGAAUCCAUAUUUUACAUGUUCGUAUAAGUAGUAUUUUUUUAACAAAAUUAAGACUUCUCUAUACAUAGGUUUUUAAAUUCUAUAAAUUAAGUCAGUUUAAAUUUUUAACUCUAAAAUACUAAUUAAUAUAAACUAUUAUCCAAAUAUAUGAAUUCUAUAAUUUUUUAGCCCAAUGCCACCCACUAAUCUAUUAAACUAUAUGAAUCCCCAGUAGCUUUUGCCACGUGGCAAUUUUUCCUUCACUUUCACUAAUCUUCUUUUAAACCAAUCUCUAAAUCUCUAAACCAAACCGCCUCAACGUUUCCCCUCCCCUCUUCGAGUUAUUUUUUCCUCCCUUCCAUUGCAAUUUUUUCAUUAAUGAAGCAAAUAUAUAAGCAAUGAACUUUUCUAUUUUCAUAAAUGAAGCAAUGAACCGUACGUUGCAAUAUUUUCAUUAAUGAAGCAAAUAUAUAAGCAAUGAACAGAGUUAUUCGUGUCCCUACGACUAUUCCUUUUCCUUACAUUUCCCCACCUUCCGUUUUUACAUUUUUGCUGCUGCUAGGAAUCCCAAAAGGGAGAUCGCAGGAAAGAUCCCCAACUCUCAUUCCAUCUCUGUCGCCGAUCCUCUUGCUACCGCCUCUGUCGUUGUACUUUCCAGAGGGUCUAAAGCUCUUAUCUUUGAUCGAAAAUAUGUCCGAUCGAGACGAUGUGCAGCCAUGGAAGGCGGGAUCUUCAGAAUAGAACUGGUGGUACUCUCCGCCCUGCCGAUAAUGGCUUGCAGAAAGAAAACACCGCAAAUGAUGAGGAUACGGAUAAAUCGAAACCGAAAAUGGCUUCAGAUUUGGCUGAAAAACCUCAAAUCUGAGAGAAGUUUCUGCAACGGACAACAAUAGCGGUGGCGGCGAAGGCGACGCCGAGCACUGCCCCACCACAAUCAUCGUCUCUGAACUCCCUUACUCAUUCAAGUCCUCACAGGUUCUUCCUUUGCCCAAUUCAUCUUCUUCUUCGACAAUUUUCACAAAUUAGGGUUUCGCUAUGAUGGUGAAAUGAGGGAGAUUUGAUUGCUUUUGUUUUCAUCGGUGUAUUUAGUUGGAGGAGGUUUUUACUUUUUACCAAGCAGGGUCCUCUGAGGCGCUGCUUCCUGGGUACUCAAAAGGGUAAGUAACUCAGAUUGUUGGUGAUUUUGUCGUCUAAUUUUUAUACAAGACAGAAGAUUUUCUUUUAUUUCUUUCUUUAUGUUGGAAUUUGUGUUGUUAUUUAUAUGAAAAUUUGCUUCUUUCAUUUGAAGUGCCACAAUGAUUUACUGAGUUUCCAAUUUAUUAGUUAUUUUAAUAAUUUGUUUUUUUUUGUGUCUGUUUGCAAUUCAAGCUCCGAAGUAAGCCAUGGUUUUGGCUUCGUCAAUUAUGAGUAUGAUGAUUUCUUCUUUAUUUCUCUUUAGCCUUGAUAGUAUAAAAAAAAAAGAAAAAUAAUGUAUAUAAAGAAAUAUAAAUAAAGUUUACUUAAAAAUUAGAAAAAGAGAGUGUAAGAGAAUUGUAAGAACUAGCAAUUAUUUUAUAAAAAAAAGUAUGACAAAGAAUUAGCAAUUAUUUUAUAAGUUAAAUUAUUUUAGAGCUCUUAUAUAAUCCCUACUCCCACACGCUUGAUCGCUCCUUCCUCAGGAAAAGGGAAGAACUAUAUAUAACUCUAAAAUGAGUGUAUGGUUUAUAUAAAAAAUUUUAAGCCUUUAAUUAUUUUUUUAAUAAAUGUAACUUAAUUGUGCUAAUAUAUUCAUGCGUUUUCUUUUCUAGCUUCAUGGAAUAUGAAAAUAUGCCUUAUUUUGAUUUUUUUUUUUUUGAAUUGUAUAUCUUUGUAUGCUAUAUGGAAUUAUAUUUGGGAGUUUUUCUCCUUUAUAUUUUAUUGAUACUGCAUUUGAUAUUUUAUUCUCUAUAAAUUUUUAAUUCUAUAAUAGUUAUCCGCAGCAACGCGCGGGUCCCUCCACUAGUAAUGCUGAAGCUCGAAUCUAAUGUGGUCCAAGAUACGCUAGACCCAAUUAGCAUUAAUACAUUUUCCGUUGCUUUUCUCAGUACCUUUGAAAAUUUUUUAAAAAGAAGAAAAGUAUAAAAAAAAAUCCUCAAUCAUUAUAUUGCUAUAUACCGACAGUUUAGAAUUACUACAAUAAUUAGUUAAAACCACUGCAAAAAUAUAUUUUUGUCAACGUUUGUAUUAAGUGUUAAAAAAAUAACUGUCGCCACAAAUCGACUUUUUUUGUAGUGAGAGAGAGAGAGAGAGGCGGAUGUGUGUGUGAGGUGUUAAAAGUUGAUGCAAUAUUUUUAUCCUGCAGAUUUUGAACCAACGGUUGAAAUUCUAAAUAUAAAUAAGCCUCUUUACUUCUAAAUAAGUUGGGCUUUAUUUUUAAGUUGGACUAAAAAAUUUAAAAAUAAUAAUAUGUUUAUAUAUUUAUAUACAAAUAUAAUUAUAUAUUUAAAUAUAUAUAUAUAUAUAUAAUAUAUAAAAAUUAUAUUAAUGUAAAAUAAAUGUUAUCGAGUUGUUAUCGAGCCCAACAAAAGCGAGUUGACCCUAGCUCGUAUUUGACUCGUUUAUUAAACGAGCUGGAAAAUUCAACUCGUGUUCGGCUCAUUUACUAAACGAUCGAGUCAAUCUCGAGCUCAUUUCGAGCUGAACACAAGCUGGCUCAUGAACGGCAAGUUGGAUUGCCAACCCUACGCCCAAGUAGCUCUUCCGUCAAGAAAAUAUUAAUUGCUCAUUGCUCACUAACUCUUACCUAUUUUUACUUUGAUCUUUAACCUUUAUUUUUAGGGAAAUGCUAAGUCUACAAGACUACAAUCCAGAGUUGUAAUCUUUACAACUCCUAAUCUAAUCAAUAAUUCUUUUUGAGUUUUCAUUAAAAAAAAAUGGAUAGUCUUUAGCUGGGAUCGUAAACCUAGCAAUAAUAUUUUAAAAAUCGGAUCGAAUAGUGAUCCAAAAAUAUUAUUGCGUUAAGGUCACUGGUUCCACCAAUAGGUCAACAACUGGUUGAACCAGUAACAUCAGCAUGACUUCAUAAAAGACUGCUAUAAAACCAAUUUAAAUAGAUAUAAAGUUUAUGUGUGUUCCAAUUGAUGUUAUACUUAAUAGCAUAUUUUCUAUAUGUGUUUCGCCAAGGAAAAUGAACGAACAAAAACUACAAGCCAUGCAAGUACAAGAAUUCCAUUACAAUUAACCUUGAAAUCUAGGAUUUUUUAUUUAUGUCCAUGAAGUAUCAAAUAACACAGAAAUUUCUAUCAGUUGCAAUAUUUUCAUAGUUAGAAGCUAAAGAUGCAAAUGAUUCAUCACCUCGCACUCUCUCUCUCUCAUGAAAAAUAUCCACAUUCAAUUUACAUAUUCACAUAUAGAAUCUCUGCACAGUUUAAGAUCAGCACUAAUGAAAUAUUUCGCUAGAGAAUUCGAUGAGCCUAGAUCAGUUUCCUGCACCACUGAAUUCGGAGGCAAGUAGCCGCCUCUUCAGAGACUCAUUCUCUUUCCGGAGUUUUAUGAUCUUUUGCUUCAGUGUCUCGACAUGAUGAAUAGAAACAGAAUCCUUCAGUUGCUCUACCUGCCUAAAUUUCAUGAGUUUUACUACCAAAAAAAGGAGACAUUUGCAGUAAAAUUAGGGCAAGUCAGUCGCAAGGAACCAAGCUAAAGAGGAUAAUUCAGACUGUACCCAAAAAACGAUCACAUUACAAAAACUUUGAUGUAAGUUCUUAUCCCAUCUAUUAUGCUAAAAUUAAACUAAAAGCAUUUCCAUACCGGAAUCGAAGUGAUCUCAAAGGUCUGGAGAAAAAGUAGGCUGAGACAAGUAAUUUGUUUUGUUUAUUAUGGAAUGAUCAGUUCCACUUAAUGCAUGACUAAGACAUCGGUAAACUAAUUGGAAAUUAUAGUAUGCACUUUCUACCAGGGAUUGAGAUGCCAUAGAUAACAUCAAUUUUCUGGAUCGAAAUCAUGACCUCUUUAUAUGAAUCCACACUGUCACAAGCAUAUAGCCC
rnacentral:lncRNA from 1 species